UGUCAUUGUCACACGCACGCUCUGACAAAUACACUGUAUAGUCAACAUAUUUAAGCCUUGUUAAAAUCUCUCUGUCAUGAUACUUGCAUCCAUUCAUCUGCUUUCCUCCUCUGCUUUAAGCACAACUCAAAUCUGAUUGGCUCAGCCUAUACCAGCUACACAAGCUGCGACUAAGCUCCAUUUGUAGGUCAGUCACUUCACCCAAGGGCCAGUGUGCAUGCUGGGGGAUUUCAGCUUGCCCUCUGGAUGUACACAGUCACUCAACCAGCAAGCCUUAAAUACUCUGCCAUUCAUAACUUUUGCGUGUGAUACUAACAGCAGAAUAGCUCAUAUCAGCAGGAUCAGUGUCUGGGUUGAGGUUUGACAAUCAAACUUAAAGAAACAAUAAUCUCAAGCUUAAUAACAAUCAUUCAAUAGCCAAGUCUUGGUCAUUUAAAUCCAGUUCAAAUGAAGAGGUUAACCAGGUCCACCGCCCUGUAGGCAAGAACACAGACUGGAAAUUCAUUCAUUAUCAUGCACCAGAGGUUGGUUGUUGUUACAUCAUACCUCAGGCAGGCUGAGAGAACAGGUCAGCUGCACAGCUGCUCCAGCCUGGCCCAGUCUAAAGACCUGACGGAGAACCAUGUGUUGAUAGAUGUGGAGAGACAUAUUUUCUGCAUUCAGUCAAGUGUGGAACCAUAUAACGUCUAUUUUUUUUCCCCAUCUUCUGAGAGCAGGGGCACCCCAGGUCGAAGUUCUCAUGAGUAUUUUGGAGUAGUGGGAUAUGCCUCUCUGUCGGCUGAGAAAAGGGAUUAGAAUAAGCGGUUAGAUAAGAAAGAUAAUCCCUGUCGGCUGAUGCUACACGUACAAAUUACUGACGAUUCUGGCAUAAAGCCUACUAGACCAAUGUAAUGUAUCGCAUGAUGGUGAAAUAUUUCAUGAUUUUUGAACUGAAUAAAUCACAAACGUACAUCAUGCUUGUUAAAUCAUAUCACAUUCCUCUACAAACCCAUGACAGCAAGCAUGCUUGUUCUUGAGUCACAUGAGUGUCUGCAUUGUGCAAUAUCCUCCCCUCUGCUAACCCUUCCACUUACUAACUUUCUGGUGUCUCCCAGCUGGCCUCUUGAGAAUGUAGUUGCCUGUGGUGCCUUGUUGUAAGUUAGAGCUAACUGGUGGGAAGGGACUACUGCUCGCACACAACCUCCCUGGAAGUCUGCAGCAGGAUCUGUGAGAAAUAGCUACGAGCGAGAAGGAUAUCAGGAGCUCACAUCCUCCAGAAGCUUUUUUCUGCUGAAGACUAGGAUGGCCACUUGCGGGUCAUGUUUCUGGAGCAUCAUCUGGCUGGUGGUUCUGCUCUGCAUCGGCUGGCCCCUCGGCAUCCUCUUAGGGGGUCUCUACGGCCUCUUCAGCCCCCUCACCACCUGCCUCGGCCUGGAUCGGCUGUCCGAUCUGCUCCUGGAAGGGGCCAACCUGGGCCGAACCUGUGCCAAUAACAUGAGGCACGGCAAGCCUCUGUGUUGAGAUCCACCCUGAGUGAUCGGAGGCAAGAUUGAUGCUUUUCUACUGAAACAAAUCCUUUGCUCUGAGGAGAACUGUUAAUGUCUGGUUCAUGUGGAGAUAUCCUGAGAUGAUUGGCGCUCGAACUUUUUUUUGCUAAGUUAUGUAACAAAAAGGUCCAGAAGGUUUGCAAAAUGGAUUCCAAAUUUGUAUGUCUGGAAGAAAAUAGGCUUUGUGUUCAUGGUCUGUGUUUGCUGUUUAAUUCAUGAUGACACUGCAUGGAGAAGAUAAGAAUGAAAAUGGCAAUUUAACAAUGGAAAUGCUUAGACUUGUAAAUGACUGUAUGGAAACUUUUAAUGCGAUUAAAAUGGCUUUGAACUUG